rnacentral:tRNA from 1 species
GGAGAGAUGGCCGAGCGGCCGAAGGCAACGGUUUCGAAAACCGUCGUACGGCGACGUACCGUGGGUUCGAAUCCCACUCUCUCCGCCA